rnacentral:tRNA from 1 species
GCCCCCUUCGUCUAGAGGCCCAGGAUGUGGGAUUCUCAGUCCCAAUACAGGGGUUCGAAUCCCCUAGGGGGUACCA